rnacentral:rRNA from 1 species
AGAGUGUUGAUCCUGGCUCAGAAUGAACGCUGGCGGCGCGCCUAAUACAUGCAAGUCGAGCGAGAAGACGUAGCAAUACGUUUGUAAAGCGGCGAACGGGUGAGGAAUACAUGGGUAACCUACCCUUGAGUGGGGAAUAACUAGCCGAAAGGUUAGCUAAUACCGCGUACGCUUCUUGGACUUCGGUUCAGGGAGGAAAGCGCUACCGUGGGUAGCGCGCUCUUGGAUGGGCUCAUGUCCUAUCAGCUUGUUGGUGAGGUAACGGCUCACCAAGGCUUCGACGGGUAGCUGGUCUGAGAGGACGAUCAGCCACACUGGCACUGCGACACGGGCCAGACUCCUACGGGAGGCAGCAGUAAGGAAUAUUGCGCAAUGGGCGAAAGCCUGACGCGAGCGACGCCGCGUGGGGGAUGAAGGUCUUCGGAUUGUAAACCCCUUUCGGGAGGGAAGAUGGAAUGGGGUAACCCAUUCUGACGGUACCUCCAGAAGCAGCCACGGCUAACUUCGUGCCAGCAGCCGCGGUAAUACGACGGUGGCAAGCGUUAUUCGGAUCUACUGGGCGUACAGGGAGCGUAGGCGGUUCGGUAAGCCCUUUGUGAAAUCUCCAUGCUCAGCCCUGGACAAGUCGGAGGGGACUGCCUGGCUAGAGGACGGGAGAGGAGCGCGGAUUUCCCGNGUGCGGUGAAAGCGUAAAGAUCGGAGGAAUGCCGUGCGAAGCGGCGCUCUGAGCGUUCUGACGCCUAGGCUCGAANCGUGGGGAGCCAACAGGAUCAGAUUUCCCUGGGUUGUC